rnacentral:rRNA from 1 species
GACGAACGCUGGCGGCGCGCCUGACACAUGCAAGUCGAACGGUGAACGGGGCUUCGGCCCUGGGAUCAGUGGCGAACGGGUGCGUAACACGUGGGCAACCUGCCCCAGACCCUGGGAUAACCCCGGGAAACCGGAGCUAAUACCGGAUACUCCGACCGAACCGCAUGGCUCGGCCGGGAAAGGUCCGCCGGUCUGGGAUGGGCCCGCGGCCUAUCAGCCUGUUGGUGGGGUCACGGCCCACCAAGGCGACGACGGGUAGCUGGUCUGAGAGGACGACCAGCCACACUGGGACUGAGACACGGCCCAGACUCCUACGGGAGGCAGCAGUGGGGAAUCUUGCGCAAUGGGCGAAAGCCUGACGCAGCGACGCCGCGUGGGGGAAGAAGGCUUUCGGGUUGUAAACCCCUUUCAGGAAGGACGAAGCCCCUCGGGUGAAUAGCCCAGAGGGUGACGGUACUUCCAGAAGAAGCCCCGGCUAACUA